UAAUGCCUGUACCAUAACCGACACAGGUGGGUAGGUAGAGUAUACUAAGGGGCGCGAGAUAACUCUCUCUAAGGAACUCGGCAAAAUGACUCCGUAACUUCGGGAGAAGGAGUGCCUUAUUUAUAAGGUUGCAAUAACAAGAUCCAAGCAACUGUUUAUCAAAAACACAGGUCUCCGCUAAGUCGUAAGACGAUGUAUGGGGGCUGACGCCUGCCCAGUGCCAGAAGGUUAAAGAAGUUGGUUAGUGUAUGCGAAGCUGAUGACUGAAGCCCUGGUGAACGGCGGCCGUAACAAUAACGGUCCUAAGGUAGCGAAAUUCCUUGUCGGGUAAGUUCCGACCCGCACGAAAGGCGUAAUGAUUUGGAUACUGUCUCGGAGAGAGGCUCGGUGAAAUAGACUUGUCUGUGAAGAUGCGGACUACCUGCACCAGGACAGAAAGACCCUAUGAAGCUUUACUGUAACUUGAAAUUGGAAUUGGACUUUGCUUGCGCAGUAUAGGUGGGAAGCGUUGAAGAUAUUCUUGCGGGAGUAUUGGAGCUAUCAGUGAGAUACCACUCUUGUAAUGUUAGAUUUCUAACUUUGAACCAUAAUCUGGUCAAAGAACAGUUUCAGGUGGGCAGUUUGACUGGGGCGGUCGCCUCCCAAAUGGUAACGGAGGCGUACAAAGGUUUCCUCUGAACGGAUAGAAAUCGUAUCUAGAGUGUAAAGGCAUAAGGAAGCUUGACUGUGAGACCUACAAGUCGAGCAGGGACGAAAGUCGGUCUUAGUGAUCUGACGGUACUGAGUGGAAAGGCCGUCACUCAACGGAUAAAAGUUACUCUAGGAUAACAGGCUGAUCUCCCCCAAGAGUUCACAUCGACGGGGAGGUUUGGCACCUCGAUGUCGGCUCAUCGCAUCCUGGGGCGGUAGUACGUCCCAAGGGUUGGGCUGUUCGCCCAUGAAAGCGGUACGCGAGCUGGGUUCAGAACGUCGUGAGACAGUUCGGUCCAUAUCCGGUGUAGGCGUUAGAAUAUUGAGAGGAGCCUUCUUUAGUACGAGAGGACCGAGAAGGACACACCGCUGGUGUACCAGUUAUCGUGCCAACGGUAAACGCUGGGUAGCUAUGUGUGGAGUGGAUAACCGCUGAAAGCAUCUAAGUGGGAAGCCCACCUCAAGAUGAUUGUUCUCACAGGGUUAACCUGGUAAGGUCACGGGAAGACCACCCGUUGAUAGGCACUCGGUGGAAGUCCAGCAAUGGAUGAAGCCAAGGUGUACUAACAGACC
rnacentral:rRNA from 1 species